AAUACAGUAUGUAAAAGAACAGGUCACAGUGGCAUGUUAUCCCUGCAGUUAGUAUUUGAUUCAUUUGGCAGUGACACAGUUUAACCCAGUUAACACAAAGAGAGAUUGUCCUCACAUGAAAAUUACAUUAUUGGUCACUUUUGUCACUUCCUGCUUUUAAUUUCAGUUGAUGAACCCAAGAAAGCAGAAAAGGUGCUGAAAGCUGAGAAAAAGCAGAUAGUUCCUGCCCUGAAAAAGGAGCAUGUGAAUAUUAUAAAAACAGGCAAGUAACAGGCCACACUCUGUAACAAUAUGUUCACUUUAAGCUACGUUGUGUCAGAUCAGAAACAAUAGGCAGUCUUUAAAAUCUCAUGAAUCACGAGGAUCAGUUCAAUAUUUUAAACUACUCCUAUAAUAAUAAUAAUAAUAAUAAUAAUAAUAAUAAUAAUAAUAAUAAUAAUAAUAAUAAUAAUAAUAAUAAUAAUAAUAUACAAUAUUAUAAAAAUGAAUCUCAUUAGGUUCUGCUUUAUUUUGAAUUGGGACUUAAAUAAUGUAAUGAAGUUGUUCAAGGUAAAACAACAUGAUAGGUAUUAAUCUGACAUAUAAAGUGACAGAUUGAAUUCCACCAUCUUUUGACACGGCCUUGUGUCAUAGAAGAAGAAUUAUAGUUUACAUAAAGCUCAACCAGUGGAUGUUAAACGUGAAGCUAAGAUGAAACUAAUGAGUUGCAUUUCUGAAUAUUCUCCAACAAUAGAGCUUCCUGAGGUUCUUAAGGUGAAAGCCAAACCAGAACCUGCAAAGAAAGUUGCAGCUCCAAAGGAGACCAAGAAGGAACCAAAGGAAAACAUAAAAACUACACCUGUUAAACCAGACUCUGGACCCAAAAAGGCUGUAAGGAGGAUUAAAGUAGUCAAGAUGGAGGUUGCUUCUGUCCUGAAGAAGGAACAUCUUAAUGUUACUAAAGCAGGUGAGAUUAUACAGUAUGAAGAAGAACAGGUCACAGCGACUUUAUAUCCUUGUGGUUAGUAUUUGUAGAUUUUUGCAGUGACACAUCUUACAUGUUAAAUGUGAAGCUACGAUGAGCUAAUUAAUUAUAUGUUUUAAUAUUCUCCAACAAUAGAGCUUCCUCAGGUUCUUAAGGUGAAAGCCAAACCAGAACCUGCAAAGAAAGGUAAGAGCAUGCUUUUAUUCUUUUGUGUCAAUUGUCAAUUCAUUUGUAAAAGUACAAUGAAUCUGAUAUUUUUUAGCUAAUAUCUAAUCAAUCU
rnacentral:lncRNA from 1 species